CCUACGGGAGGCAGCAGUGAGGAAUAUUGGUCAAUGGACGAGAGUCUGAACCAGCCAAGUAGCGUGAAGGAUGACGGCCCUAUGGGUUGUAAACUUCUUUUAUAUGGGAGUAAAAUGUUCCACGUGUGGGAUUUUGUAUGUACCAUAUGAAUAAGGAUCGGCUAACUCCGUGCCAGCAGCCGCGGUAAUACGGAGGAUUCGAGCGUUAUCCGGAUUUAUUGGGUUUAAAGGGUGCGUAGGUGGAUUGUUAAGUCAGGUGUUAAAGUUUGCGGCUUAACCGUAAAAUUGCAGUUGAAACUGGCAGUCUUGAGUACAGUAGAGGUAGGCGGAAUGCGUGGUGUAGCGGUGAAAUGCUUAGAUAUCACGAAGAACUCCGAUUGCGAAGGCAGUUCACUGGACUGCAACUGACACUGAGGCUCGAAAGUGUGGGUAUCAAACAGGAUUAGAUACCCCUGUAGUC
rnacentral:rRNA from 1 species